GACGUAGGGCGCGAGCGUUGUCCGGAUUUAUUGGGCGUAAAGAGCUCGUAGGCGGCUUGUUGCGUCGACUGUGAAAACCCGCGGCUUAACCGCGGGCCUGCAGUUGAUACGGGCAGGCUAGAGUUCGGUAGGGGAGACUGGAAUUCCUGGUGUAGCGGUGAAAUGCGCAGAUAUCAGGAGGAACACCGGUGGCGAAGGCGGGUCUCUGGGCCACUACCGUGCGCUGAGAAGCGAAAGCAUGGGGAGCGAACAGG
rnacentral:rRNA from 1 species